rnacentral:tRNA from 1 species
GUUUUAAUAAUUUAAAUAAAAUAUUGAUCUUGUAAAUCAAAAAUAAAGUCAACUUUUUAAAACU